AAUUGUUGCAGGUGAAAUUGUGGAGCAUAGUGGAAGUAGUGAAAGUAAGGUAAUAAAGAAUGAUCUUCCAGAAUGCAAGCUUGAUGACCGAAAUGAGGGUCUGAAUGAUGUUGUUGGGGGUACGCUUAAUGAUGUCACUUUAGAGUCCGGAGACAUAAUAAAAGGUGAAAUGAGAGAAAGGUCUGUGGUUGAGGAUGAAAGUUCAAAUGGAGUCUUC
rnacentral:lncRNA from 1 species